rnacentral:rRNA from 1 species
GAUGAACGCUGGCGGCGUGCCUAAUACAUGCAAGUCGAGCGAACAGACGAGGAGCUUGCUCCUCUGACGUUAGCGGCGGACGGGUGAGUAACACGUGGAUAACCUACCUAUAAGACUGGGAUAACUUCGGGAAACCGGAGCUAAUACCGGAUAACAUGUUGAACCGCAUGGUUCAACAGUGAAAGACGGUUUUGCUGUCACUUAUAGAUGGAUCCGCGCCGCAUUAGCUAGUUGGUGAGGUAACGGCUUACCAAGGCAACGAUGCGUAGCCGACCUGAGAGGGUGAUCGGCCACACUGGAACUGAGACACGGUCCAGACUCCUACGGGAGGCAGCAGUAGGGAAUCUUCCGCAAUGGGCGAAAGCCUGACGGAGCAACGCCGCGUGAGUGAAGAAGGUCUUCGGAUCGUAAAACUCUGUUAUUAGGGAAGAACAAAUGUGUAAGUAACUAUGCACGUCUUGACGGUACCUAAUCAGAAAGCCACGGCUAACUACGUG